rnacentral:rRNA from 1 species
CUACGGGCUGCUGCAGUGAGGAAUUUUGCGCAAUGGGGGAAACCCUGACGCAGCAACGCCGCGUGAGUGAAGAAGGCUUUCGGGUCGUAAAGCUCUGUCAAGUGGGAAAAAAUACUCAAGGUAAAUAGCCUUGAGGCUUGAUGGUACCACUGGAGGAAGCACCGGCUAACUCCGUGCCAGCAGCCGCGGUAAUACGGAGGGUGCAAGCGUUGAUCGUAAUUAGUGGGCGUAAAGAGCGUGUAGGCGGUAUGGUAAGUCAGAUGUGAAAGCCCUGGGCUCAACUCAGGAAGUGCAUUUGAUACUGCCAGACUUGAGUAUGGGAGAGGAGAGUGGAAUUCCCAGUGUAGAGGUGAAAUUCGUAGAUAUUGGGAGGAACACCCGUGGCGAAGGCGGCUCUCUGGACCAAUACUGACGCUGAGACGCGAAAGCGUGGGGAGCAAGCAGGAUUAGAUACCCCGGUAGUC